rnacentral:rRNA from 1 species
UGGGGAAUCUUCCGCAAUGGGCGAAAGCCUGACGGAGCAAUACCGCGUGAGGGAGGAAUGCCUUUGGGUUGUAAACCUCUUUUCUCAGGGAAGAAGAUCUGACGGUACCUGAGGAAUAAGUAUCGGCUAACUCCGUGCCAGCAGCCGCGGUAAUACGGAGGAUGCAAGCGUUAUCCGGAAUCAUUGGGCGUAAAGCGUCCGCAGGUGGUUUCCAAAGUCUGCUGUUAAAGACUGGAGCUCAACUCCGGAACGGCGGUGGAAACUUGGAAACUAGAGUUCGGUAGGGGUAGCAGGAAUUCCCAGUGUAGCGGUGAAAUGCGUAGAUAUUGGGAAGAACAUCGGUGGCGAAGGCGUGCUACUGGACCGUAACUGACACUCAGGGACGAAAGCUAGGGGAGCGAAAGGGAUUAGAUACCCCUGUAGUCCUAGCUGUAAACGAUGGAAACUAGGUGUGGCU